rnacentral:tRNA from 1 species
UGCGGGAUCGUCUAACGGCAGGACCGUGGCCUUUGAAGCCAUUUAUCCUGGUUCGAAUCCAGGUCCCGCAG